rnacentral:lncRNA from 1 species
UGUAUUUGAAGUUGGUACCUUACUAGCUACAAUCACUAAACUCACAUUCCCAUCACAAGUUACAUCUAAGAUUUUGUGGGCCGUGAGGUUUUACAAAGGAUUAGUGAGGUAGCCUACAAACUCAAGUUGCCAGCCAAUACAAAAAUACAUCAUGUCUUCCAUGUAGGGAUGGGCAACGGUUAUAGCAGGCGGGUAACCGCAGUUAUUUACGCAUAAUCAUUUAUGUUCAGACCGGUAUAACCGUUUACCGUACGGUAAUUGCAUAAAUGGUUAUACCCAUACCCAUAACAGUUUAUAAACGGUUAACAAUACCCAUAACCGAGUACCCAUUUAACCAUAACCAUUUACCCAUUUAACCAUAACCGUUUACCCAUUUAACCAUAACCAUUUACAUAUAUUUACGUAUCUCACUUUCUAUAACACACACACACACAUAUAAUAACAGAUGUAAGGUAUACAAAGAAUUCCUCUAUCUAACUUGGAAGUUGAGUUUCCUAAUGCAGAAGGCAAACAUGAAGGCGAAGAAGACUCCGAAUCCAACUAGAACUCCAGCCACUGGUCCCUUGAAAUCUGAUUCAAAUCCGUAACGGUCUUUUAGGUACCAUUUCACAGUUGGGUCAGGUGUAUACCCAGGUGCUUUAAUGGUCUCCUCAAUGUCACCAUACUGUGUUACAAUCAAUCCAUACACCGUCCAUGCCACGGGACAUAUCCAGUAGUACCAAAUCCACCAACCGGGUAUUUUCUGAAAAUUCAAAAGAUAAAGAAUUCGUGUUAACAUACUUUUAUAACGAGUUUUAGUCACUUCAUCACCGCUGGGGACGAAAAUCGAAUCACCAACUGUUAAAUCAAAAUCCAAUAGUUGAGAUGCAAACUCGAUUCAGAACACUUAAUCAUUGGAUUUUAAUCAGUUGGAAAAUGAUUGCUGUGAUUUUGUUGAUCAAUUUAGACCAAUAAAUCACAGUAUUAUUAUAAUCCAAUUUAAAUUGAAGUAUAUGCUUGUGGGAAGAAAAAUACUAGUACUUACUGGUCUUGGAAUGAAGAAACCGGAGAAGAGAUUGAAGACUGAAUAGAAAGCUGCGGCGAAUAUGGCUGCUACUUGGUGGUUCGGUGUGAUGGAAACGGUCAUCAUGCCGUAGUAUGUGAAGUAAAGGAAGGAGAAGAAGUUGAUAAAGAAGAACCAGAAGAAUUUUCCUGCUUCCCAUUGGAAGCUCACCAUAGCAUACACUAUCAGUGUAUAAUACGUGGUCUGGAUAAACACAUAUGGUAUUUCAAUAAUGACCUGCAUGUCAUACAAAUGGUUUAUUUUAGUCAGUCAGAUGACAAUUUUUUCUAUAGCAACAAAUAUCGAUUUAUAAUAGUGUUAUACAUGAAACUAGGAUCAAUACUAUAUAUGUGCACAAUGUGAGUUAACGUAAGUAUUUAUUCUCCCUUCACCUGUGCCAGUGCAUAAGGUAAUGCAGAGUACAUCCCAGCAGCUCUUUCUCGAUAGAAAACUGUUCUUCAAUGGCGACCACGGGUUGCACCGUUGUGCAGUUAUCAAAUCCGACGAAAAAGACAGCAGCGUACAUCGCCCCGAUAACCAUGGUCAAAUCAGAACUGCUUUCCCUGGAUAAGGAGAAAUAUAUAAUUAGCAAGAAAUUGGUGUAUGGAAUCUCUUGAACGAAAACUUUUAUAGUCAAAAGAAUGAGUACUAGUUGAAGUUUGAAAUAGUGAAACUUUGAGAUAAGCACACACAUUUUUGAGCCAACAUCCCAGAAAAUAGAUCCAACGAGAAGGGCUGCUGCCAAGGUAAAAAAGAAUCUGACAAGGUUAUAAUCAGGACUUCUCCAAUACGUCCACCACUGCUUCCAGAGGCAAGACUGGAAUUGCUUCCAUGACGGCUGAGAAAACUGAGUGGGAAAAUAGAGGUCGUUUGCUCCUGCUGGUGGUGUGCUCAACUCAUUUACUAAAGCUUUGUUUCUCCUGGUCAUAAAUAUUGGAAUAUAAGUUUUAUAUCUUCCAAAAACCAGCCAAUUUCGAACCCUGCAACUAAAUAGUAUUAUUUACAUUUUUUUUCUACUUACUGAUACAAGGCAGAUGAUUUGUAGUAUUGAGCAAAGUCCAUUCCAAGCCGGACCUCAAUUGACGUUGAGCUCGCCUCAAGCAUCCAUGUAGCUGGAUUGUACUUCUCUUUGAUUUUUGGCACGCCAGGAACCGCCUGGAAUUAAGUUGGUAAGUUUACACUUGGAUGACAAUGCCUUUGAUUAUUUCUCUGUACAAAAUUAAGAUACGAAAAAAGUUGCACGCAGAUAAAAUACCUCAAAAUAUUCAACAAUCUUGUGAGAAUUGCGGCCCAGUGGUCCUAAGUAGACAACUUGUCCUCCUCUCUUCAUCAGUAGCAGCUCAUCGAAUGCCUCAAAGAUAUCUAUGCUAGGCUGAUGAAUUGUGCAAACAACUGUUCUCCCAGUGUCCACUGUAUUUCUAACAGUCCUCAUAACGAUGGCAGCUGCCCUUGCAUCAAGACCUGAUGUUGGUUCAUCCAUGAAAAUAAUUGAGGGAUUGGCAACAAGCUCAACUGCAAUCGUUAACCUCUUUCUUUGUUCUGUUGACAGCCCUGAAACUCCGGGAAGCCCUACCAAAGCAUCUUUAAGAUUGUCCAGCUCAACCAGUUCCAUCACUUGAUCUACAAAAAUCUGCAAACAUAUAUAGUAUAUGCAGUUCAGCAUUUAAAUAAUUGCACUAUGCUUUGUUAAGAGAAGCAGUGCAAGUCAUGGUUUUACCAUCUUUUCCUCGUUGCUGACUUCUUUAGGGAGUCUAAGGAAAGCUGAGUAAACCAACGAUUCUUUGAUAGUGACUUGGGGUGAGUGGAUAUCAGUUUGUUCACAGUAACCAGAAAUUCUUGCAAAGGUUUCUUGCUUCUUAGGGUACCCAGAAAUUCUAAUGUCACCUUCAAUGUAACCUCCGGUCUUUCUUCCUGCUAAGACAUCCAUCAAAGUUGUCUUCCCAGCCCCACUUACCCCCAUUAGGGCAGUCAAGACCCCAGGCCUAAAUGCACCAGUUACUUCACGAAGUAGUUGCAGCCUGUCCUCUGCUACUCCUUCCUCCUUCAUUUCCUGUUAUAGUGAACUAAGUUAGCUAAUUAAGUAGUGAAGUUGGACUACAAGAUAAUGUUUCAGAUAAACAAAGAGUGAAAUACAGAAAAAGAAAUAUUACAGCGGGCAUGUCCACGAAAUAAUUAACACUGUCGAAGGACAUUGCAAGAGGAGUGAAAGGUAGAACCAUUCCUCUCUUGGGGGCAACGCCACCGGAGACUUCGAGAGAUGAAUCAGCAUUUCUACCUAGUCCACUAGAGCUGGAUCGACUGCUCAUUCGUCGGACUUCCAUUUCUCCUACAGAAAAUUUAAUCCAAUAAGAAACUCGGAUAACAAUAUGCUCACAUUACACUUGACGAUAUUUUUCUGUUUCUUACUUGUAUUGUUUCCAUCAGUAGAAGAUAAUGAUCGAGGCAAUGAAACAUUCUUAGAUGGGGGUCUUCUCAGUCUUGGCUCUUCCUUUGAUUCUUCUUGGUCUAGCUCCAUUUCGUUUGCCGCGUCUUCAGAUAUGAUGGCUUGUGGCUUUCCAGGAGCUAAUUUAUUAAAACAAAACCAUGAAAAACUGCAACUUUAAAAGUACAAAUGAAAGAAGUUCCGUGUAGACAUAAAAAGGAACAUUGACUCUUACGACUUAGGUACAUAAGGGAGACCGUAUAAAGGGAGUUGAAGAGAACAAUAAACCCCAGAAGAGCGCCAGAACCAAUCCAAAACCAGUUUUUGUUGUGGUAAACAUCAAAGUUAUUAAGCACUGCCUCACCCACCCUGGUAACAUUAUCUAAAGCCUGCAGCACAAGGAAGUUCGAUGCAGAAGCUUAGCCUUUUUGUUAAGUUAAACAAAUGUAGCUCAUGAAUGACAGGUGCAAGGAAGAGCUUAAGUUUAUCAUACCAGUUUGUUCAUCCACCUCGGAGCAUACAUUUCAUUUACGGAGAUAGCAUUGAAGCCAUAUGUCAAAGGUGAAAUCCAGUAUGCCCACGUCCACCAGUUCGGAAUUUCACCUGUCACAAAUGAAGCAACUCGUUGAAUAUUCAGUGAAAUACUAAUUUGGUCCCUUCUUGCUAGUUUUUGACUAUUUUUUAAAAACUAAAUUUGCAACUCAAACUAACCUCUUGGAAUUAUGAAACCUCCAAGCAAGAAAAGAAUUAGAAGAGAGAGAGUCCCGCCAGUGUUGGAUAUGAUCAUGGUCCUGCUAACUCCAGCAAUAAGCCUAAAUAGCGCAGAUGCCAUUUGUUGCAUCAGAAAUAUCAACAAUAGUUGCUUGAAAAACCUGCAAAUAUUUUGACAGUUGCUUAGUAUCUCAAGGACAAGAAACUUUUCAAAGUAAUAAGAUUUUGUACCUAAUCAAAAAGUAAUUUGCAGUUUUAUCAACUUACCCACACGUGUGUUUAUAAUAUUAUAACUAAUCAAAAUAAUAAGAUUUUGUGCCUACGUAUCUAUUCAAAACUACAUAAAAUAGUUUACCUAACGACGAAAGGACCAACAUAAAAAUUCAAUAAAACAUUUGGUUGAUGAAAAAACUAUGUUAGUCAUGAUGGAAAACUAAUUUACGAACAAAAUAUAUAGAAAUGAAAUUAAGCAGAGAUAAAUGUGGUACCUGCUAGCUUCAGGUGCAAAUCCAAUGGUGUAGUAUGUAAUGCCUAUAAAAACGGUAGAUUCUAUGAUGGAUAUAGGAAUCCCAAGCAGAAACAGAGUGAAAAGUCCAAGCAGGGUGGAAAAGAAGGUCUCUAUGCUUGUAAAACACAGGAAGUCUUGCAAUGGUCAAUGAGAGCUCAGCAAAUCCAUUAAACAUGUUAAUGAUUAGGCAAUAUAUAAGUGCACCAACAUAGAGUGCUCCAUCAUUUUCAUUUCGAGCGUCCAUUUCGGUCCUCAAAAACACUGUCGCCGUUAUGAUUGCCCCUAUUAUAAUUUGGACAGUCUUGAAAAUGUAAAUAAAUGAGUUCCUCUGCAUGAGCAGCCAUUCUUUGUCAAAACAUGCUUUGAGAAGCUGCAUUUUAGGCAUUGAAUAUGUUUUGAAUACAAGAGCUGCUUUGUGGCUUUGAGCCUUGUCGAAUGGGAUUGAGAGCUCAUCCGCUAUCCUCAUGCCCACAUGGAAACGCUUGAACCGGUUUGCAAAUUCUGUGACCGAUACAUAUCUGUAUGGAGUCCUUCUGUCUGCCCAAUACUGCUCCUGGUCUUUUCUUGAGGUAACCUGAAAAGGUUGGACAAGAGUUAUGGGAUGUAAAGGCUUAUAACAAUAUCAAAUUGGAUUAGCAAAGGCUUAUUACAAUUGUUCACAAAAAAAACAAAAGGGGCUUAUUACAAUUUCUUGGACUUCAGUUUUUAUAUAAGCAAUACUAGGGCAUGGCUGGAAGUCGAACUCAGGACUUCAGGUGCAGUGACAAAUGCUUUUAAACGCUACAAACCCUUGGUUUGGGCUAGAAGUUGGGAGAAAACCUAAGGUACAGUCAAACUAGUUAUAUACAAUUAUAUAUCAUGACUAUAAUCACGUGAUAAGUGAUAAAUAGAGACAUACAGGUAAAUGUGUGCAACUGGUGGUAGGGAAGAUUUUUUCAGAAGAAAGUCUUAAGCAAUAUGUCACUUGCUCCUAAUUUUUAAUUAGAUGUGUCACCACCUAUUAAAUUAAUGUGAGACUUUAUCGUGAUUUCACCUCUUGCAAGAAAUCAGCAGUUCCCUUUCUCUCAGGGCAUCGAAAUCCACAUGUCUCAAAAAACUCUAAUAUCUGCUCACGUGGUCCCUGGUAGACGAUCUGACCUUCUGAUAAGGAUGAUAUCAUCAAAAAGAUCAAAUGUCUCAGGAGCAGGUUGGAGUAAAGACAUCAAGAUCGUAGCCUCAGUGAUGUGUACAAUUUGUUGUAGGCACUUCACGAUUUGGAACGUCGUGGAGCUAUCGAGACCCGUUGAGAUCUCAUCCAUGAAUAAUGUUUUAGUAGGUCCAACAAUCAUCUCACCUGUAAUUAACCAUAAUAAUUUACUUUCUCAACACAUUAUACAUGUACAAGACAACGUAUACAAUUUAAGACGUCGUAUAGCAUUUUUUUGCUUUUUUUUUUUUUAUAAAAAAAUACAAGAAUAUAGUAAUUAGCUUACGAUUUAGAAUGACUCGUAUAAAAUUUAUUUAAAAGGUAUUUGUUAUACUAUUAUUCAUCUAAAUUUAGUUAUUGCUUAUCAAACAGUAUUGAAAAAUCCUGCUCGAUAUUCUAAAGACAUUUCUUUUCAAAGUGCAUUUAAAUUCCAGUUCUUACGGUAUUGAUGACUUUGCAAAGAAAUUUCAAAGUGUGACACCACCCACAAGUAUCUUUGGUCUACAACAUGAUACCAUAUGAUCGCGACCCUAUUGAGAAUACAUUUGCUCACCACCUUCAUGUGGUGAUGAUGCUCCACUUUAUUUAUCACCAUUAGAUGAGUUUAAAUAUUGAGAUAUAUGUAGUGGACAAAUCUCAAAGUUUAAACUCAUCAAAUGAUAAUAAAUAAGAUAAUGAGCAAUACCACAACUUGAGAGUGAUGAACAAAAUGCGCUGCAAAUUCUAAACAAAAUCAGAAGGACAAAAAAGGUGGGAAUUGACCUGUGGUUACUCGUUUUUUCUGGCCGCCAGAUAUCCCUCUCUGCAUCUCAUCUCCAACAAUUGUAUCCUUACAUAUAUCAAGCCCCAAAAUCUGUACCAUUCAAUAAAAAAUCAUGCUUCAUCAUUAUUUCAUUGAAAAAUUUUAGAAUAUAAAAAACAUUAAUUCUAAAUGGUGUUUUAGUAAAUUGCUUCCAAAAGCAUGCUUGGUCAACAACCAAAGUGUAAGCAUGGGCCUCCCUAAUUCCCUAUCCAGCAAUGUGUUUAGACAACAGCAGUCAUCAAAGUAGAUUGGGAAGAAUAAUUUGACAAAAGAACAAAAAACAAUUUGACUAUUAAGUAACGUUAAGCAACGUCUACAUUUUCAUGAUCUGGCUUAUGGUCAAAUCCCCAUAAGGACCAUUUCUAAAUAAGAAUACUAAAACAUCCAUGUUUAUGGGACUGACUAACCGAUGAAUGCCUGCCUUCUUCUUGAUCGAGCUCUUAUAUGUAUACUCAUUGUUUUUAGGAAAAUAUGUGAAAGAGAAGUUUAAAUUUCUAUAUUUUUAAUUUAAAAUGAGAGAUAUGCUGUGAUGAUAUAUAGAUGAAGACUAAAUUGUCUUUCCACCUUCUUUUAAUUGACAAAGAGAAUUUUAUUAAUAAGUAGUUUAGAUGUACGCAACUACUUGAACCAUUACUCAUUAAUACUUAAAUUUGCAGAUUAAGAUAAGAUGGACCAUUUUAGUUUAGGGCCUAGUUUUUCCUUAAAACAAAUUUACUUACUUUGAGAGUAUAAUCAGUAAUGAGACUGCUCUCAAGUCCUCCCAUUGCAGUAGCCUGAAAAGGAAAAAAAACCCAGAAAUUUAGAUAUAAUUAAAUAUAUACGAGGGGUUUGUGUGUGAUAUAUAUAUAUAUAUAUAAUAUUACCUUCAUGAAAAGGUCUACUUCGGGCUCUGGAUAUAUUCCAGCGGCUUUUUCUCUUCUAGCAAGCUCAGUAAGAAGUUCUACAUAUGAACCAUUGAAUAAUUAAAAUGGGGAUUGAAUAUGAAUAUGAGAGUCUCAAUUUUGAUGAGAUGGAUUAAUAAAAUACCAUAUCGGGUCCCAACCCCUUGGCACCUUGCUGAAAAAUCUAGUGUUUCUUUGACCGUCAUAUUUCCAACGUGAAGAUCAUUUUGGCUAAUAUAUGCCGAUGUCUUCCGUGGCACAAACUCAUUCAGCCGGUGACCAUUGUAAGUUAUCUCUCCUUUAACCUGUUCCAUAUAAUUUAACCAGAAAAGUAUUAUAGUAAUAAUUAUAAUUAUAAAAGAAAAUUGGGAUUAAAAUACUACAAGCAACAUUUCCUUCAUUUAAAUAUUUAGACUUUCAAUGUAUAUUACUGCUUUGUCAAAAAAGGAGGCUGAUGUUAGUUUUUUUAUUUUUUUUCUAAUUUUUGUAGAAGUAAUCUAUUUCAUCCCGUUUCUUAUAGGAAUUAAAGCCCCUUAGGUCAAGUAAUUGUUGAUCAAGUCAAAGCCACAUGUCACUGACCUUCAAGCUUGAAUCCAACUUCCCAGCUAAAGCCAGCAAAAUGGAAGUCUUCCCCGAGGAUGGAGGACCUAAUAAAAGGGCCAUCCUACAGAAAACAACAAAAAGGUUACAUCAAAAACUUAGAAUUAAUCAACAGCAAAAAUAUUUUUUAAUCUAUCGAAUAAAAACAUCAGCUAACUUAUCAGAUCACAUAGAAUGGUAACUUAAAUAAAUCAUAAAUCUAAUGCUUAGUUACCUUGAAGGUUUAAUAAUGCCAGACAUCUUUGAGAAUUGUUAGUUUUGUUUGCUUAGUCAACUUAAUCCCAAUUAAGCCAAGAGCUGAUUCUGCGAUGUUCCGAGCAACAUUUGGGAGGGUGGGAAGAGCUCUUGUUCCAACAUGGCAAUCAGCUUCAAUUGUCAAAUGCUCGUACCUUACUUCCACUGUGGGAAGUUUGAUCCCAACCCUGCAAUAAAUGACAACACAUGAAAAUUUUAAUUAAUUAGUUAGAGUUUAAUUAGAUUAAUUAAUUAACAUGUUCCUUUUCAUGCAAUGUUUUACUAUGUUCACCAAUUAGAUUCCCUUAACAAUAAAGGAGCUGCCGGGAAGUUGUUUUAUUGACCUAAUUCGUUUGUCACUUAAGAAAUUAAGGAAAGGUACACAAUCUGAAAUGCCAUUUCAAUACCAUAUUAAAAAAAAGUACGGUAAAAUAAUUUAACAAAGGGUGUAUUAGAAAGACCAUACUUUAUAAAUCGCAUCGAAAAUAAAGACCAAACCACAAGGUUCUUGGCAUGUGCAUGAUGGAAUAUAUAUCACCGAAUAAAAAACAAAUAAUAAAGUUACCAAACCAUAUACUAUUGGGAUAUAGACCUCACAACACAAUUAACUAGUACCCUGCUUGCAUCACAGGCCUGCUACUAUAUAUGCUAACCAAGAAAGCGACUCUAGCUUAUUUUCGUCUUUUACAUCUUAACGUUUCAUUUGUCCACCAGGAUGAAAGAAAUGAUACGACAGCGAUCAAUGGUAAAUUAUGCAUGAAAGCAACCUUGUAACUAAUUAAAACAAGUUUGAUCAAGUAAGAGUAAAUUCUAGGUAGGCCAUAUUUUUAAAUUAAAUAAUGUGUCAUAAAAAAGAAAUAAGUAAGUUAAUUAAUAUUUAAAUAAUAAUUCAAUUAUCAAUAUACAAAAUUUUAGUUUAAAAAUUUUCUCUAGCAUUCAUAAUGUUAUAUGUGCUAAAUUUACUCUUUGCAUUAUUUAUUGUAUUGUUAACUUAAUUCUAUUGGAGGAAAUCAAUGAAUGACUCCAAAACAUUAUUAGCACCCACAUCUACUAUUUUUUAUUAUUGCAAAAAGUUAAAAAUAAAAAAAUAAAAAAUCACAUACUUUUUCACGUUACACAGACUUCUAAUUUUCUAAAAUAAUAUAUAUAUAUAUAUAUAUAUAUAUAUAUGUGUGUGUGUGUGAAUGUUCUUUGAUUUAUUCAAUCUAAAUGUAAGAAAUAUAGAGGGUGUGAAUAUUGUUUUCCUUAUUUAAAAGAAAUUUAACCAAACCAUGAAAGAUAAAAAACAAAGGACUUACUUAUCAAGUCUACUUCUGAACUUUUUCAGGAACGUCUCGUUAUCUUCCUCUGCAACCUUGAAAACCCUUUGAAUGAAAUUCUGACGGUCGUCCAUGUCGAGCUGUAGAACGUCUACUUGCUUAUGUACUCCUUGAUGCUCAGUUUCCCCAAGGGACUUGAUGAUGCUUGUUCUUAGCCGAUCAUACGUGGGCAGUUUCUCAAUGGCAGCCCAUGUCAGAGCUUCUUCGUCUUCGUCCGCUUGGCUGCUUCUUCUCGAGUGCGUGGCAGUCGCAAAUACUUCUUCCAUGCGCCAACUUGCCCUGCUCAGGCUCCUGCUUAUGCUUCCGCUGCGGCUAUGGCGCUUUUGAUGAUGUGGCUCUGAACCUUUCGGUUUCUCUGUUCCCUCCAUUUCGGUUUACCUCCUGAAAAUAAACUGAAUUUAGAAUAUUGUAUCAACGCUUCGAUGUUUUGUGAAAUUUUCUUGGCAGCCAAACGUGUAUGGAGAACUAAAAGGACUUACUUAUUUGCUGAGUUUGUUGAAUGACAAGCGUAAUGGAUGUUAAAUCUAUAUCCUUUUCUUUCAAAACAAAAAUCUAUACUUUGUGGAAAUAUGGAAAUGUGUUGGGUGGAGAAAUUUAUGAUUGCUUUUCUCUAAAUUUCCAAAGUUCCCACUCCAAAUCAAAAUCUCCUCUAUCUUUUCUCUCUCUCUCUCUCUCUCUCUCUCUAACCUUUGCAAAAACUGAGAGAUUCAUUUCCUUGAGAAUUUUCGAGGGUAUUUAUACGUGUACAAAGGGAAGAAAAUUCUCAAAUUUUCAAACAACUAUUAAAGUCAGAAUACUAUAUUUUUAGAUGCCAAAGUCAGAAUAUUACAUGUGUAUUGAUAUAAUAGAUUGCAUUGAACAGUAUUCAAAUGUGAUUGGCGGCGGCCAUACCCACUUUCUCCAAGAUCUUUUGAAGAAUUAUGUGGGCUCCACUGUGCUCUUCAUCCAAACUAUAGUCAAAUGAGGUUUGGUAAUUUAUGACACCCUGCCACCAAAGUUAUAUGCCUGUGAAAAUAAAAACAAAAAUUAAAAUGACGCAAUAUUAUUUCUAUUGUUAUUACCACUGUAAAAUGGUCUUUUUCAACUGUAAAUUAUUAUAUAAUUCCUUAAAAAAAUAUUAUGAGUGGUGUUAUUAGGAUCUGAAAAUGGUAAUCAUUAUGCACAAUAAGUGUAAAUUAGUGUAAAAUAUUUCUUGUAAUUGAAAUAAAUAAUUAAUUAAAGUAAAAUACCAUUUAAAUUGAGGGCACAAUAAUUUUUCUAAAGUGCGAGCAAAUUAACAAAAUAAAUUAAUGGUGAAUGACACCUCAAGUUCACCUUUUAAAACAGAUAAAAGCAUUAUUGAUAUGGUGAGACAAUUCAAGUAUUGAACCUAGUUCGAAUACUAGUUUAUUCGUACUACUAACGUAGCAUAUGCAUAACAUUGUUCAUUUACAAAAAAUCUUGGUGGCUUUGAGAUCAUCUGUAGGAUGUUCGACAAAGGUGAUGGCAGCAUUUUGUCAUCUCUUAUGUAUUUGCAGUUUUGGAAGGUAACAAAGAAGCUAUCUACAAAAUCACAAUGAGACUUGUAGAACCAAAGUGUGUGUCAUUAUCAGAUCACACGUUAAGGACCCGUUAAUAACGAGUUCUUAAUAAGUUUAUCUACAAAAGGUGGUCUGUUAAGAAAAAAAAGUAGUUUGGUAAUUUUAAAGACUUUUUUUAUUAGCACCCCACAUAGUAUUGAAUACAUCCCACAUUAAAAAUGUAAUAUUAAAUGACUUAUAUAUCUAAUAUGUAAUGACAAGUUCGACCUUAUAGGGUUUAGAAAAAUAAAAAAAAAUUCUAAAUAUACCUCAAAUAAGUUUUAACGUGUAUAUCUCAAAAUUAUUUAUCCUCUUCAAGACUUCAACUCUUUUUCUCAAAAUCACUUUCACCUUCCUUUGUAGAGCACAUCCACUGAUUACUGAUUCAUCAGGGCCAAUGUUGACCUUAAUCGUCAAACGUCUCUCAACUGGUUGUCGACAAAUAGGGCAGUGGUUUGUUUGUAAUCUCUAGAGCUUGUCACACACAUGCAUUGUAGCAAGAAAAGAAGUCCAACUAAAAAUUAGUCAAGCGAAAAUCCACCAUAAAUUACACUCAAGUUGAUUCAAGUGGAUUAGUUUUGCGAAUAUAGGAUAGAUAUCCAAGUCAUGGGCGGGAUGGGAUGCCUCGGCCUUAACAACUAUAAGACAGAUAUCCAAGUCAGCUACUUUCAGUAACUCUGUAUCCUCAAACAUUGAGAAGUUAAUCCCAAUUCCGAGGGCCUCCCUGAACUUUUGGCCUAGACCGUGUUCAAAAUGUAUAGUCACAGGUGGAUGAAGGUUGAAAUGUAUUGUCAUUUCUGGGAUUCACUAGGAGGCUGCCUGAACUUAUGGCUCAAACCGUGUUCAAAAUGUACCGUCACAGGUGGAUGAAGGUUAAAAUGUAUUCUCAUUUUUUUGGACACACACCUUCACUGAUCAAUGUUCACUGGUUAGAAAAAGUUGGGCAAAUCCUUGUUGCCAAAAAAUAAUUUAGGGGAAAAAAGUUAAGCAAAUCCUUCAUGACAUGAAUGAUUUUGUAUCAAAUAGCAUAAUAAGAAAGAAACCAUUAUGAAGAGAGUGGAGUGUAUGUAGAAAAUGUGGGGUGUAUGUAAAAAACGUGGAGUGUAUGUAGAAGAUGUAAGGUGUAUGUUGGGAGUGUGGGGGUCUGAGGGUAUUAUGGGAAAGUACAUAGGGUGCAAUAAGAUAAAUUUUAAUUGAAAAAACAUAUGUGGGGUGUGUUAAGAAUGUGGGGUAUAUUCAACAAUAUGUGGGAUGUUAAUAUAACAAGUCAUUUUAAGCUAUGCUAAAAAAAAACCUUACUACAAUGGUCAAAGCCAGUCUGCAACGGUCAACGGUCAUGGGUACUCAACUUUGACCCCUCAUUAUGAAAAUUUUAAUAUAAUUUGAUUUCCUACAAAAUAUCAAAGCAGAUUAAAAAAAAUCAUAAUAAAUAUAAAAGCGUGAAACUGUGAAAAAAAAAAUAUCCAAACAUUCAUGACCGCAUCAUCUACACUUUGACGAUGAGUACAUCGUCGUUUGAAUUUUUAAAACCUCUAAACCCUUGCGAACAAUAUUUUUAGAUGGAGUUGAAAAUAAAUAAAAACUCAUAAUAAUUAAUGUACAAAGUGAAAAAUGUGUAAAGAAUAUAUAAACACUUAUGAUUAUAUCCUCUACAUUUGGAUAUUGGUUAUAUCAUUGUUUAGAUUCUGAAAACCCUUCAAACUCUCAUGAAAAGUGUUUUUGUUUGAGUGCAAAAUUAAAAAAAAAAUCAUAAUAAUAGAUGUACGAGUGUGAAAAAUGUAAAAUAUAUACAUAUAUACAUACAUAUACACACACAAACACACACACACACAAACGCUCGUAAUGAUAAACUCUACAACUUUUGUGAAGAGGCCAACUCCAAAAUUCGACACCAUAAACCCUAGAUUUAUAUUUAAAUGUCAAUUGUCAUUUACGUUUAAACUCUAUUCUUCUCACUAGAUUUAGUGUUUUAUUUUUUUUAGAUUUUCUUUUUUGAAAACAUGAUCUUUUGGCGGAGGCAGAGAGAUAAAUGGUUCGGAUCGUUGAUAUCAUGUUCUGAUAUUUACGAUUAACUCAAGCAUGAGUUGAUGUUAUAUAGUUUCUAGAGACUUUAUAAACUCCGAGCAAUAUUUUCACUAACCGUAAAAUGUGAACGUGAUAUCAACGAUCCAAACCCUUCACCUUUUUGCAUCCGCAUAUCAUGUUUUCAAAAAAAAAAAUAUGAAAAAAAAAAUUUCGGUAAGAAGAAUGGAGCAUAAACAUAAAUCACAACACACAGUUAAAUAUAAAUCUAGAGUUUAUGGAUUAUUGUGUCAAAUUUCAGAGUUGACACAUUUCGCGAAAGUUGUAGAGCUUGUCAUUACAAGUGUUUGUAUAUUUUUCUUUAUUUUAUAUUUUCACAGUUGUAAAUUGAUUAUGAUGAAAUUUUUAUUAACUUUCACUCAAACAAAAAUACUAUUCAUGAGGGAGGGAUAUAAAAUCCAAAUGACUAUGUAACCAUCAUUCAAGUGUAGAGGAUACAAUCACAAACAUUUGUAUUGACAUCCCUACCCAAAUAGCCAUCAAACCAUGGGUGGUGAUGUGUUAAGCUAUCACCAAAUGAAUAACAUAACAUCUUUAAAAUGAUAACAAAACAUCACCAAUAUGAUGGCAGAGCCAUAGGUAAGGAAGUAAUGCUGUGAAUAAAUUUGAACUAAACAACUCAUUAUUAUUAACUACUAAAAUUAUCCUACAAGUCACUACAACACCCUCACCUCUUGGUGACACAUUAGGGUUCAACCCUAUUAUUACCACAUCAGUUCAAAGCAUAACAAUAGUGCAUACAUUAGUUAUCACAAAAGUAUGCGUUGUGCUCUGGGCAUAAUCGAAAGUAUGACUAUGCAUUAUUACAACUAGAUAAGAACAUAGAAGACAGAGAAAUCACCCUACUUUGUAGGAUGACUACACUAUUGCCAAGCCCACUAGUCCCCAAACAUCGCCUUGUUCUCGCGAGGUACCUAUGGGAUUGGAAUAUAUACUAACGUCUACUAGUGCGAGUACAAGCAUGCAUGUGUACAUGGGCAUCUACCUGUUUAUUGCUAGCAUCCACUAGCAAAAAAAAUCUACUAGUAUCUACAGUACAUCUAGCCUCAACUAGAUAAAUAACACAUGCAAGUAUCUUAUGGCCACAAAUAGCUAUACUCGAUCUGUAAGGGACCAUGUGGUGAAAAUAAAUCAUAAAUAUAAACAAGUCAAUCAUAUGAUCAUCUAGUCAUUUCAAUAUUAGUAUCUUCCACUCAAAGAAAUUCUGAGUUUGUCUCUUCAAAAGGUGUCAUGCUUUUGUCUAGGUUACUCAAGCUUGCACCUAAAAAGCAUUGUGUUAGCACUUAACUAAGUAAAUUCUAAAGCUAAGUAAAUUCUAAAGAUCUCUAAUUCAAAUGUGGUAAACAACUCCAAUUUAGCAAAAACAGAGUCCACCACGUGAUUCGGAACUUCGAAUAACCUUUGGUUGGGUCUCGGGUCCCCAUGUGUUGCCACACUGCUACACGUACUAUCACAUGUUGCCACGCAUUGCCUCAGUGACCUCGCGCCGUCACUCGCCGGUGGAUGCACAGAGCAACACAGAGGUCAAAACCUCAUAUUUAAGCUCAAAUUUGACAUGAAGAGCAAGGAAAGGAUACCUGACAUUAAUUAGAAUCAAAUUCAAGCCCUUUUGACCUCGAAUUUGUCGGGUUCAAACUCGAGCUUGUCAUAGGGCCUUGGUGAAUGAGUUGCUCCCUUCCCCAAUUCUGAUUCUCACAUUCAAGACCAUUCUCGUGAUCCUUAGGUCACCUAGAGAAAAUAUGGUGGUUUUGAGGUGGAGUUUGUUGAAAAAAUUGGGGGCUAAUUGCUAUAUUAAAUCACAUGAAAAAUCAAGAAAUAAUUCAUGAACUUAUAUAUCAAAGUAAUGCAUAGACAUGAUCAGCCAAUGUUAAAUGAACAUGACAUAAUAGAUUAGAAAAACCUGAAAAUACGGUCGAGGUAAGUGUUAGACACUUUGUCCUUAAGACAAGUUUAUGCCCCACUACGGUGCUCAUUGUUGAUCGGCGCAUGUCUCCUAAGAUAUAACGACCAUGUCCUUGUAAUAGUAGCACUCCUAAUCAUAAAGGCUCCAUAAACCACGAUUGUGUUGAAAAUCCUCUCAUAUGGACUCAAUGAGACUCUCUAAUAUUUAGAGCACUCUAUGUAUGAUUAUGUAAACAAAUGGAAAGUUUUUAAAUGAUUAUGGGGGGCUUCCCUAUUUAUAGAGUGUGAGAUACCUUUUUGGAAAACAUGUGACUAUUCAUGAAGAGUCAGAAUUUGCAACACUUUAUUUAAAUAGACAUAUCUUUCUACCAAAAGGCUCCACUUCUAAUUUCCUUUCAAUUAAUAAAUUUAAUAUAAAAAUAUUAUUAUUAAAUUUUCCAACAAAGUUUGGUCAGGAUUAGUGGUGGAUUGGGUGGUUGUUCACGAUGGUUAAGAGAGAGAGAGAGAGAGAGAGUUACAAAGAUGACAAAGAGGAAAGAAAACUGACCAAGAGUGGGGUUAUGAUUAGGGCUGGUUCGGUAUGGGAUACCGAACUGAAAACGGCAUAUCAAGUCCCAAACCGACUAUUUUCGGGAUAGAAAUCUGAGGACCAAUCCCAAACCAAAAUUUCGGUAUUCCCGAAAUAUUUUCUGUAUUUCAGGAUUUCCCGAAACCGAACAUGCAUUAAAAAUUUAAAAUUUAAAACUCCAAUUUAAAAUCAGAGACACUGAUGAAUCAAUGAAAAUUGAAGGUCGAGAGAGAGAGAGAGAAAGAUAGAAUGCAGAGAUAGUCAAACCUUCAUCUUUCUCCCCCAAUUCGUAACUCUAAGCCCCAAUUUGAAACUCUAACCUUGACUCUAAGCCCCAAUUUGAAACUCUAACCUUGAUUUGAAACCCCACACAUAUAGAGAAUCGCUUGAAAGAAUCAGAGGUGGGGAUGAAGCAGUGCGGAGCGGUGGUGGCCGGAGUGCAGAAAGUUGGACGAAGUCUGAUUGUGAGAGGAUGGGUGGGUCUUCGAAUUCGAGAGGAGAGACAGAAAGAGUCUGAGAUUUUGGCGAAGGUAGUGAUGGGAGAGACACUUUGUCUAAAGAGUCUGAGUCUUUAGACAUCUUUUUGCAAAACUUUCUUUAUUUUAAUAUUAUAUAAUAGGCUAUGUUUGCAGUUUGCUUGAUUGUAAUUUGGACAACACACAACAAUCAUGUGCUUUUCUGCACACUUUGAUUAUUUUAGUAAUAUAUAAUUGAUAUUCCAGUUUGCUUUUCUGCACACUUUGUUCUUUGGUAGCGUGGGAAGUACGAACCAAAGGCAAAAGGAAAAGAAGAUUUCAGGAUUACAGAAAAAUGAAAUUUGAAAAACCAAUCCCAUACCGAAUAUUUCGAUAUUUUUUGGUACGGGAUUACCAAAGUUCGGGAUAAUUUAGGUUUGAGAUUUUUCAGUUUGGAUUUGGGAUUUUUUUGGUUUGGUUUGGGAUUUUUGGGAAUUUUUUCCAACCCUAGUUAUGAUCCCUUAAAUUUUUCCAAAUGAAAAUUACCAAAUUGCCAUUCUUGAUUAAAAAAUUAUAACUCAAUCUCCGUAACUCCAAAUUUGAUUCUACUUUCACCCACUCGCUUGUGAGUACGAAAACCAAUCUAAUAAAAUUAGAAAACCUGUGAAAUUAGAAUUAAACUCAAAGGUCCAUAAUUAUUCAAGACACCCACAAUAGGAAUAUUUUGGUCAUUUCACACUUCGUAGGCAUAACUCAUAAGAUACAUUAUUUUAAGGUAUGGGUUAUAGCAUGUACGUGUUUUUUUUUUUUCAAAUUUUUCACAUGUGUACAUUAGUUAUUAUGAAUUUUUAUUUAUUUUGAACUCACUCUAAAAAUAUUGCUCACGAGGGUCUGGAGAUUUUAAAAAUGCAAACGACAAUUACCAUCAUCAAAGCAUAAAGGAUGUGAUCACGAGCGUUUGCAUAUUUUUUCAAUUUUUUCCCAGUUCUAUUAAUUAUUACAAAUUUUUUAAUGUGCUUUGGUAUUUUGUAAGAAAAAUAAAAAUAAAUUAAAAAUUGGUGAUUUUGUAUAAAAUCAAUUAAAAGUUAUGAUAUUAACAAUAAGUCAAUCAAUUUUUUGGAAUUAUAAAUAGGUCAAUGAGACUUUAAGAUACAUUAAAACACAUCAAUCAUAUUAAAAUUACAAAUGAUGCCAUUACCAUUUAAAACACCAAACCUUUCCAUCUCCUUCAUUGUAAAUCGCGCCUCCCCCCACCUUCAAACUUCAACCUCCCCCGCCUCCCACCACCAUCAACCUCCAUUACUUCAACCUCCCCCACCUUCUACCACCCUCAAUCUCCAUUUUUUAGACACUGCACAUCAGUGUUUGUUUCCUGUUUUGUGAUUGUGCAUUUGAAUUCAAAUAAGUUUAUGGAUUCAGAUACUUCGUUGCAGUGUCUGUUUCAUGUUCUGUGAUUGUGCAUUCUGAUUCAAAUAGGUUUGUGGAUUCAUGUUUCCGGUUCUGUGGAUUCAGACACUCCGUUGCAGUGUCUGUUUCCUGUUCUGCGAUUGUGCAUUUGGAUUCAAAUAGGUUUAUCGCUUCAGACAUUGCAACACAGUAUCUGUUUCCGGUUCUGUGGAUUCAGACACUUCGUUGCAGUGUCUGUUUCUUGUUCUAUGAUUGUGUAUUGAGAUUCAAAUAGAUUUGAGGAUUCAAACACUACAACAUAGUGUCUGUUUCUUGUUCUGUGAAUUCAGACACUUCGCUGCAGUGUCUGUUUCCUGUGCCCAAAAUCGAGUCCUUCUUCGACAAUUCCAUCUAAGAAAUUUGAAAUUUGAACCUCAAUUCAAUUUUUUACAAUUUUUCUAAAAAAAAAAAAAAAAAAAAAAAAAAAAAAAAAAAAACUUAAGAGAGAGAGAAAGAGAGAGAGACAGAGAGGGUCUGACAACGAAACAUCCUGAUACAAAAUCCUCACAACCCCAUACGAAGCUAAGUGUCUGCCUACCGACCCAACCGACACUCAAAAUUCAAAAUUUGAACUUCCUCUCCUCUUGUUCCUCCAACUGAACUGAAAUUCCUAAAAUUCAAACAAACCUCAGAAAAUAAAAAAUCUUCAUCUAAUAUGGUCCCAAUCCCAAAUGGCCGCCGCCAAUUCUUUUAAUUCCUCGAUUCCCUCCACUCCUUCUCCACUCUCAUCUGUACACACGCUCCUCCUCUUUAUCCCUACCAUUUCUUUCUCUUUAACUUGUAAUUUCAUGUUUGUAAAUCUUUUAAAAAUGUUUUCAACUUGGAACUUGGCUGUUCUUCAUAACCAAAUCUACUGACUUGAGAUCGAGUCCUCUGUCGAACCUUGGCAGUGAUCGCAAUCCCAAAAAGUUUCGAAGCUGAAAGCCCUAAUUGUUCGAUUUCGGUGUUUCUCAACCCUAAAAAGUUUGAAUCCUAAGCUCUGGAAGUUGAACUACGGUGAUGCGACGGUGGAGUACGAUCAGAGUUCAGAAGGGAGAGUCUGCGAGCUUUAAUUGUGAACUUUGGGUUCCCUCUCUCUCCGGAGUGCGAUCAAACACUUCCUUUCUUUUUCUUUGGAGGGUAUUUUGGUGUUUCCAUGGAUUUUAUAAUGACUUAAAGCUUUUGUGGCAUUCAUCAUUGAUCUAAGCCAAGUUAAUAAAAAUAUAUCAUUGAUUAAGUCCAAAAUAAAAAUAUGUCAUUGAUAUAUGGCUUAAUAGUAAAGUUUUUAUUGACCUUUGGCUAAAUUACCUUUAAAAAAAAUCAUAAUAAUUAUUUUAAAAAUGUGAAAAAUGGGAAACAAAUAUGUAAACACUUGUGAUCGCAUACUCUACGCUUUGAUGAAGAGUACAUCAUCGGUUGGAUUUUUAAAACCCUCCAAACCCUUGUGAACAUUGUUUUUAGAUGGAGUUGAGAAUGAUGAUAAUUCAUGAUCGCAUCUUUCAAGCUUUGAUGAUGGUUACAUCAUCGUUUGAAUUUUUAGGGUUUAGGAUAUGUAGACACUAAUUUAGUGACAACGUAGUAUAUAGAUGCUAAUUUAUUAUGACGAUUUUCAUUUGAUUAUUUAUUGAAGUAAUAUAUAUUUUCUUUAAUGGAUCAGGUCAUAUCACCCAUUAAUUUUAACGGGUCGAGUUCGGGUCAGGUCAUAUUAUCCAUUCAUUGUAACGAGUUUGACAUGACACUAUCCAUUACGAUAUCGGGUAUAUCAUAAAAUGACACGAACACGACAAAUAUGACACAAUUACCAGGUUUAAUAUUGAGAAAGUUAAAAUACAGUCCUGACACCACUGAAGAUCAAAACUUAUAACCAGAACAAAUUUAUUUUAUAUAAAAGGUUUCAUGCAUACAUAAAAACUUUGUACAAUUUACUUCAAACAAUUUCUAUAUAUACUCAGAUUAUUUUUUUUAUUUUUUAUUUUUUGAAAAGUAACAUUCAUUAAGGGAAAAAGAAAGAUUAUGCAAGGCAAACACAAAGGAAGGUAAAACAACCCAAAACAAAUUGGGGAAAUCCCAAUACACAUAAAGCACAAUCUAAUAAGAAAAAAGACAAAACACUAAGAAAACCCUAAUCUUUAUCAUAGCGCAGUAAACAACUGCUGCUACCAGGGACGAACGACUUUAGCAGCAACCACCAAGGUAGCCACACUGAAGAAAAUGAUCGAGUGGUCAAAUAGAGACUAAGACUUUGCAACAUAAAAUUUAAAAAUGCAUAACCAAAAGUACAACACAACCAGAUUAUGUCACCAGAAACACUGCACCAAGAUAUAGUCAUUGGAUCCAAUUCACUUUCACUAACCCCUGAAAGGAUAUACAAACACAAUAAUAGAUGAAAAGGGGUGAGGCUAAGGGGUAUGUGAAAACCCUUAGGUAAAAGCCUUAGAACAUUUGGCCCCAAGGAAAAUUUGGCAUUUCGGUCAAGGGAGGGGCAUUGAAAGAAAGAAAUGAAUUUGACAUCCAUCUUUGGUUCGUCAAUCGUAUAUCUGAUUAAAGGUUAGGGUGGAGAUGAAUUAUGAGGAUGGGAGGUAGAGGGAAGAGAUAAGGGACGAUGGAAGUUUGGGUUUGAAAAAGGUGGAAAAAAAAAGCGUGAAAAAUAAUGAAUUAAAACAUAAAAAAUCUCAAAUUGACAACCGGAGGAAACGACUAAGGGGGUAACAAAUUGGGAGUUUUUUUAGAGAGAAGGAUAAACUUUCUCUCUAGGAAGCUGUAAACUCACCGGUAAUAGGAUUCCGUUUAGGGUUUAAUUGUGUUAAACCUGCGACGGUGUUAUCACAAGUGCUAGCAUAGCUGAUCAUUCCAUUCAAACCAAAACUCAGCCAUGUUAUGAUCUGUGAUUAGCUUAAUCAUAAUGAAGGACUAAUUAGUUAAUUGGGGGUUUUGUUAAGUGAAGUAAUUAGUUAAGUUUUUUUGGUUGCCAAUUAGCAAAUGAUGUAUGGGCUGUAUAUGUCCACACUUUGGGUGUGAUUUUGGCCAUCGGUCAUUUUAAAUAAAAUAAAAUAUUACAAAAACAAGUGGAGCUCAAUUCUGGUCUCCCUUUUGUAUACCACGCUCCCCGAACAACUCUCAAACCGCUACCAUGAAUGAGCUUCUAGCUACCUUGGAAUCUUCCAUGGAUGCUCGUUUUCCUACUUUCGGAUCAACGAUUGCCGUCGCUUUAUUCGGGCACUCUAUGGCCAUGGAUACUAAGUUGCUAGUCAAAUUUUAGCAAUUUUUCCAGGAACUUUCUUAUGGCAGUAGGGGGCUCUUCCUUUGAUCCAAAUGCUUAGGCACUACAAGAAAAAUGAGCUUUGGGUACAAAAUAAAGGGCACAAUUGGGAAUUUUGUGUCUAUUUGACCACCAAAAGGCUGAAAUAGUUCCCAUUCCAUAGAGGCAUCUAUGGUGCCCAAUGUAAAAAAGCAAAGACACAAAACAAUAAUGGGCACAAAACCCGUGCCAAGUGGAUCAGAUGACAACUUUUUGACUGAAGAUGGGCACAAAAAACAUUUUGUGUCUAUAAAAAUUGUUUGUUAGCAACACAUUAUGUGUUUUUUCGUUUGUCUUUACCUCUACCACACCAAAAAAAGUAAAUUUAUAAAAUUGUGGUAAAUAAUGGUAUGGAGCUGUUUAUUACUGUGCAAUGUUUUAGCCUCAAAAUAAGUUAACAAUAAUGUUGUUUAAAUUUAUUUUUGGCAAGAACCGAACCUCAGAUCUCUCACUUACAUGUUAGGGGAUGAUGAUAUAGUUCAAACAAGGCCAAAUGUUGCAUAAAUUGUUAUUGCGAAAUGAUUAUCAUACUUGUAAUGAUCAUGAACUUAUAUCUACUAUGUAGCUUGGUCAUGUAUUUUGUUAUGUAAGCUAUUACAUUAAGGAAAAAGGGGUUUAAACGGUUUUUUAUUUUUUUCUUCUCCUUGGACUUAAGUCAAUUUAAGGGUAAAUUUGGCAAGAGAAUACAAAUAAGCUUAUGUGGAUAAUGAAUCACUGGACUUCACCCAAAAAUUAAAAUGAAAUUGGACUAUAACUAAUAAUGACUUAUAAAAUUGGACUCCUCCAAAUUGGACUUCUCCCUCCCUCUAUUUUAUGGUGCAUGUUUGGGUUUCCCACCACCAAAUUCAAAAACUUGGGUUUCCUACCAUCUAUUUUUUUUUUAAACGCACAACAUUACAAAAUUGUGCCCACUAACUGUUAUAAUAAAAUUAAAAAAUAGGUUUUCUGCCCACUAACUAUUAUAAUAAUAAUAAUUAAAACUAUAAUAAAGGGUGAGAAGCUGGGAAGCUUUCAUUCUACCCUUUCUCCCACUUUCAUCAGACAAAAGGCUAGUUUGGUAUUGCUGUGUUUUGAAAAAAAAAACUACUUCUGCUGUGCUGUGAGAAUGAGCUCAUUUUUGCUGCUUUUUUUCACCCAAAACUGUGAAAAUAAGCUGUUUUUAAGUAUUUACCAAACACCUUUUUGAGCUCAGCUUUUUCUAAUACCCACUUUUUAUAAAAUCCCUCAUCUCUCAAUCCGUCUCACCCUUAGUCUCAAAAAAAUCGAAUGGCACUCCUCCCCACUCCUCCGUCCAGUUCGAACCUGCUCUUUCAUCGUUCACUUCAAAGCCGUUCCUCUGUCCAAUUCAAAGGCACUCCUCUAGUGACACACAUAGAGACAUAAGAGGCCCAAAAUACAAGUAAGGUUUCUGAAUUUCAAAUUUUCAAUGGGUGUUUGUUCUUUAGGGUUUAGGGUCAAAUUAGAUGUUUAUUUUGUUGAAUAUGGUUUAUGGUUUGAGGAUAGUGGGUUUCAAAGGACAGUGGGUUUGGGAUUAGGAAUCUAGGAUGGGUGUAAGUCAUUAGGAUUGGAAGGGUUUCAAGUUGGGUGUGCCCCGGUUUAGGGUGGGUGCAGGACCUGCAGGUCAUUGGGAAGGUGGGUGGUUAACAGUUCAUAGGUUUAGGUUGGAUAAAUCAAGUCUUACAUAGACUUGAUUAAAUAGGUUUCGUAUAAAUUGUAGUUAACAAUUAGAAUGGACAAAUCAAACCAAAACGACAGAUAUGAUUAAAUAGGUUUGAUAUAAGUUUGCUUGGGAUCGAGCAGCAGUCCGAAGAAACUUAAGUUAUGGUAUAGAGCCUAGGACAAGAUUAGGCAGAUUAGCCUCAGCUGGCUUGGAAACUGUAAAAGGCUGGUUUAGGACCCUUGUGUCACUCACACAUUUUGACACUAUCCAGACUAACUAUGAAAUGAGAGGACCAAAUGUAUGUACAUGAUAACUAGUUUAUCCACAUAACUAAUUUAAGUGGAAGUAAUAAUUCAAUACUUUAUGCCAAUUUCUUGACAAAAGAAAAAGAGAGAAAUUAUGUGAAUUUCAAAUUGAUGCUGCUUGCGAAUCAGUUUGAAGGACAGUCUAAUUGGAAAUUAGGUAGUUAUUCUUCUGUUUGUCCAAAAUCCCUUUGUGAAACCAUAUGGUACAAUUCUUGAGGAUUUGUCCCAUGUGGUGUAUUAUCAACCAAAGAGAAAAUGGCACUUGUCUUAUAGUUAACCCAAAUUUAGUUAUAAUUCAAUUAGUUUGGGAUGCGAUAAAAUGCCUUGAUAGUUGUCAUAAUUCACUAAGUGCCUUGCUGAAGUAUACGUAAGUCUUCCUUGCAUUUUGCAAGUCUCUUAUACUUUUUCUUUUGCUGCUUAUGAUACCAGAUGCUCAUUAGCGAGAAUAAAAGCCACAUAUUGUCACCAGCAUUUCAUCAUUGUUUCUUAUCUACCCCCGGCUAGUACUCCUCUGUAUAAUUCAGUUGGAAUUCAAGCUUUGAUGUGGUACGAAAUUAAAUCAUGUGAAGAAAUUAACUACAAUGGUGUCAAUAAUUCACUAUUCUGUGUGCUAAGAGUUUUCUAUCCAUAGCAUUCCAUUUUCUUGUAAUCAUUUUCAUAUAAUUCCCCUACUUUCCUAUGACUACAGUUUUAACCGUGUACCAUAUAAUUCAUUGGUCAUACUAAAGCUGAUGGUGCAGAACAAUCUCUUAAACCUGUAAGUGCUGGCUUAACAGAAGCAGAGGAGUUGGAGAAGUAUAUCACCAUUAGAGAAGAGGUGUAUAAGAAAGCUAAAGAGUUCGAUUCUAAGAUCAUUAGUUUUGAAACAGCUAUUAGGAGGCCCUACUUUCACGUGCAGCCUUUCAAUUCUGCAGAGCUUGAAAAUUGGACCAGUUACCUAGACUUUAUAGAAGAGGAAUGCGACUUGAGCAAGGUAUUUUCAGUGAAUUUGAUUUCAUUUUUUUAUUUAUGGCUUGAAGUUUUUAGUUGCCUUGCUUGUUAUGCAUUAACUCACAACCGAGUAAUAUUUGUUGCACUAUGCUUUAUUGGCUAAAUUGUUGGAUGAAGCAACUUUGAUAAAGGGAAUUUGAACUGAGACUAAAGCAUGGGCCUUCGAUUUGGUUUCUUAAAGGAUAAGUAUUUCAAACUCUCAUUUGUUAGUGCACGUUCUAGGUUCAUGAUGUGUUAAUAAAUUUUAUUGUUUUUAAAGUUCCAAUGUUAUGCAUGCAAGUAUCUUCUUAUCUUCGUCCAGGCAAGAAAGGUCCAUCCUUUCCUAUUUGAGGGGCCUUUCUGUUCUACUAAUGGAGUAUUUCUUGGGCAUAUCUCGUUUGUGUUUUGUUUAUCCAUUCGUUCUUUUAUGGUUAAUGAAUGCAUCUUUUUAAUUUUAUUCUUUUGAAGGUUGUCAAGCUAUAUGAAAGGUGCCUAAUUGCUUGUGCUAAUUAUCCUGAAUACUGGAUUCGAUAUGUUCUAUGCAUGGAGGCCAAUCGAAGUAUGGAUAUUGCCAAUAAAGCUCUUGCACGUGCAACCCAAGUUUUUGUGAAGGUAUUUCCUUGUAUGCUAUCAACUUAGACAUGAUUUUGUGGUGAGUGAACUUCAAUGAUUCUUUAUUUUGGAAGAGAUAAUGAUGAUAAAAACCAUGUCUUCCUUUUUUCUAACUAAUCUUGUAUCCUUGUAAAUUGUAGUUUGUGGACUGAAAAUGAAUCAGUUAAUGAGUUAGUUUGUGUGGAGAAUUGAAGUCCAAUGUUGUGCAUGCAUUUAUCAAGAUUGGUCUAGAAUGCUGUAUAUAUUAACAGUCACAACACAACAGUCACAAACAUGAUUAUGAACUUAGAUUUUAAAGUAUUGAAACUAUUGUAGAUUAUUGACCAUUGAACCCUCAAAGUGAGCUGGGCAGAUACAUAAUAUGAUCAAAUAAUCAUCCAUGGAAUUUUCUUCUCUUUAUCUUUCCCCUGUGUUAUGUUUGUAAACCUUGCCUCUUCCAGUUGAACAAUAGGAAAUUUCUAUUUCUUUUUUUACCCUACACUAGAUACAUAGCUUUAUGCGACAUUACUACCAGCCUUUCAUACAGGAUGCACUCGUGUUCCUUAUAUUGAAGUUAGUGGUAUAUUAUCAUAUGCUAAUUUAGUUUAGUUAUGUGUUGAACUGGAGCUAUUUCUCAUAACUAAACAAAAUUUUGGGAACAUGCCUUUUUUAUGUUAUCAUUAUGUUGAGUAACGUUUCUUUUUUCUGGUAACGUUGCAUGUUUGACCUGUUUGUCUUGAAAUUAAAGAGACAACCGGUGAUUCACCUUUUUGCUACUCGGUUCAAAGAGCAGAGUGGGGAUAUACCUGGUGCUCAAGCUGCCUAUCAACUUGCACAUUUUGAACUCCCACCGGAGAUUCACCGUUUGUUUUUGGUGUUUCCUUUUAUAUGUAUGUGUAUGUGUUUUUCCUUUGAAUUAUCACUUACAUUUUUUUUCUCAACAAUCAAAAUAUGGAAAAAUAAUUUUUUGCUUAGCCUAAAGAUUUGUAGGUGAUUUCGGUUUUUUAUUAUUUUUAUUUUAAAUAGUUGACAUAUUGGGCACAAUAACAAUAAAUGUGCUAACAUGGGUGGCAGCAGUCAUCUGACAACUUUUUCAAAACUGGGCACAAAAGGACCUUUAUUUAUGCUUACACUUUUCAGCACAGCAUACCUUAUUGUGCUCUUUAAUCAAAGGUGAUGCCCAUAGAGGGCACAUAUAGAAACUUAGUUGUUGCACUGUUGCGAUUGGUCUAUAGGCACAAUUGAUGGUGCUAUUUGGACUCAAAGGGCACAGAUAAUUUAUUGUGUGCAAUGUCCAUAUUUUUGUAGUGGGGGCCCAGAUCAGGUGGUUCCUCCAUCGAUUAUUGCUGAGGAACCUGACUUACGUAGCAUGGACACUUUCAGACAUCAUCGUCGUGAUAAUUCAAAUGGCGGUGGCUUUACACCUCUUCUUAAUAGCAAUAUCGAUUGAAUUUUCAAAGAUUUUAUGAGAAGGGUGACCUAGUAGCAUGAAUCUAAAAAGCAGAGCAAUAUUUAUCCUAUUACACUAUCCCUGAGCACUAGAAGGUUGUCAUUGCCUCAUUUUACCUGGAGAAUGAAACACUUUAUUGGUUCCAACAGCUUGAUAAAGAGUUUUACAACUCUAAUUUAGGCAUGCUUUUGUAUUAUAUGCAAUCUAAGAAAUUAGAGGCUUGUUGGAUAAGCUUUUUGGACUAAUACUUCAAGAAAAGACUAAGACUUCAACAUCAGCUAGGUCUAGAGGGAAAUUAUGAGCAUUAUGUAUCAGACGGAGUAGGAUGCCACAAUCACUCUACUCUGGGGCAUUAGGCAGAGUCUUAGUGACUAUGCUGGAUGACCAUGCUUAUUCCGCAAGACAUGCGAUCAAAUCUGGAUAUGGACACCUUCAGAUCUAUAAGUUUUGGAGUCCUUCCAAUCGAGGGAUAGGCUUGCGCCACAAGUAAUCACAACUCCCAAGAGGAUGCAAUAUCUACUUACUAGAUAUUCUCUAGGAUUUUUUCCGGCUUAGAACGAGGAUUUUAUCCAAAAAAAGAUCUCUUUCCCAUGGUAUAAAUACACUCAUUUAGGGUUAAAAUAUAGCAACACAAUUUAUACACUUGAAUUUUCUUGCCUACUACUUGAGUCUCAAAUCAUUUGCUAACUUGAUGGUCGAAGAACCUUCGGCCAGCACACCUACCCCCUCCCUCCCCCCUGCGGCCUAAGGUUUGCUUACAGUUGUUUUACUGUUUUGCAGGUUGCUUAGGUUUACUUGAAUUUGGUUCCAACAAUUGGUGCUUUCAUUGAGAGGGGUCAUAUAUUCUUCUCAACCAGACCACUCUGCUCUAUAGAGCUCACGUUAGAAAAUCGCUGUUUGGAUGAAUCACAACCCCGAAUAAAGAAGAAGCAUUUUUUACUCAUGGGACGAUGUCCUAAAGAUACACAUGUCUGUGAAAUACCUCAAGCGGAUCAUACAAGUCAGAGAAAUGAUGAAACUCACUUGGCUGAACGAGAGAAUGAAGACUGUAAAGGAUGUCGUCUCCCGAUUUGAAAGUUUUGCUCCACGUGCAGAAAUAUUGAUCCAGGGGUCUUUCCUGGUUACCUCCCUAACACCGAGGUAAGAAGUCAUUCCCAAGCAUUAAUUGCAUAAAAAUAAAGCAAGAAUAUUCCAAGAAAGCUCAAAAGAGAAGGAAGACGACUCGGGGAAAACCUUAGAUGAAAGAUCCCUUAAUUAGGCAUGUUUACCCAUCUUCCAACGACAUCCUCUUCAUCAGGCUACAAAUCAAAGACGCCAUGGUCGGCAGAGUUUUAAUCGAUAAUGUGUCAUAAGUCAACAUCUUAUUUAAAUGGGCAUCUAUAAAGAUGGGAAUCUUGGACGAAGUUAACUAAAUGAGGCUCACUGCCUAAACUCUUAAAGGGACUCCGCUCAACACCGUGGGACAAUACAUCUAAUGGUUUGAGCAAAACCAUCUGAACAUAUGAUGACUUUCCAUGUAUGGAUAGUAAUAGCAACAUUAUUUAUCAUAUUUUCAUGUUAAUUAUCCCUAAGUUUUGUUAAGGAAUUGAUUAUAAAAGAACCUUAUUACUUUUCUUUUCUGAAUUUCAGCCAAUUUGCACACUUAAAACUUUUUUUUGUGAUAAUUCGACUUUCCGGAGAAGUUUUGAUGCAAGGCCAAUUGGAGAAGGAAGCUAAGAGGCGGAAGCUUGUUCUGAAUUUCAUAAUUUUCCAUGAAGCCAUUCAUUCGAGUUUUACAAAUGAAUCCCACAAAAGUUGUUUUCCUGUUAGAAUUGCAUAGCUGUGGGAGAAUGAAGAUUUGAAGGCUUCGUUGAUUUUUCCUAGUGGCCUACGAUAUAUGCUUGGAAAGAUAAGAGAUAAAGCUACGUUUCCCAUAUUUGUACAGAAUUUUCCAGAAGAUAAAUCGACCCCAAAUUUGGUGUGCAAGACAGAUGACGUGUUUCCCAAGCUAAGAAGGAUUCUUUCCUAGUUUGUGUCAUUAAUUGUUUAGGAGUUUGUUUUAUUUAGGAGAGUUUCUCCCAGACCUUUUAGGGUUUUUCUAGUCUAAAUAAGGUGUCUCAAGCUAUCCCUACAUACCCCCGUAAUCCCGACAUUACCCCACACCAUACUACCAUUCACCAUCUCCGCAAUUUGUAAAGAAUAGCUUAGAGACGUGUUUUGCCAUGGACUCCGGGUUCUAUCUUUCUUUUAUUUUUAAUUUCUAUGUGUAACUAAGUUAUUUCUAAGGUUUACGAUGAAGCCAUGACAUGAAUAUUUGCAAAGUACUUUGUUAAUUAUUAUCCAAUUAUAUGCCGUGUUAUAUUCUUAAUAUUUGUGGGUAUUUCAUUCUAGGUUCUGAUUUCUAAUGACUAAUCACCUUUAGGAAUUUUGCAUCUAGAUAGUUAGAUAAAUCUAUGAGGAUGACCAAUCAAUUAGGUUUAUUGGAACUAAGAUUAAGAAGAGUAGACAAACUAGUGAGGAUGACCAAUAUCAAGCUAGUCCUACUUGGUUGACAUGAUUCUUCUAUGCUUAAUGGGCUUUUAUGUGUUUAAUUGUAUGCCUAACCAAUAAGAUAUAAUUAUCAUGUAGAGAUACAAGAGUUGAUACUUGACCAUGGAUUGAUUCAUACCUUAGAAAGAACAAUCUUUAACAUUGGCAUAGUAAUUGGAUAGCAGUUGGCUCUAAGAAAGAUAAAUAGGACUGUUGUUGGUGGAUUCAUAACCUUAGACUUCCAUUGUUUUUCAAUUUCUUCUUAUGUCAUGUGUUUAUUUUAAUUAAUUGUCUUUUCUUUUACUGGUCAAUUUUGGUAUUAAUCAAUUAAUCAAUUACUCAAUUAUUCAAUUCAAUCUAUCAUUUGUUUGUUUAAUAAAGUCUAGUGUGAUUAAUCAGUUAAAUUGGUGUUAAAGCAAUCCCUAUGGGAUUGACCUCGUAGUUGCAUAUAUUAUACAAUUGAUUCGUGUUCUUGCGAGUUUAAUUCGGUUUAAAUUAAUAUAUCCUUUAGAUUAGUUUAAAUUUACAUCGCAUAGCCCAUUAUUAUACAACGCUAUCCUUGGCCGGGAGUUGUUACACGUCAUGGAAAAUGUCCCUUUUAAAGAUGGAAUAUCGCCUCGUUACCCCAAAAUGACACCGAGCAGUGAAGAAUUCAGAAAAUGGAGGACUUGUGCCAGAAUGGAGCUUUUGUUGAAGAAAAUCAAAACCCUUGCAUACUGCUUCAGGUGACCUAAAACAAAGUGAAUCUCACAUGAACUACACGCAAUUUGGUCCUUCCUGGGAUAUGUAGGCAGUCCUCUCUGGACCCAAUCGCAACACCGCCAACUGCGCGAAGACAAGUCCAUGGAGAACUCAUCUCCAAACGCCCCACCAUAGGCUUAUCGUCAAAAGUGACCCUUGAUGUAAUUUUUUACAUCUCAUCAUUUUUUUUCCUUAGAACUACAUAAGUGAUUUGAUUCUCCAUCCUGGAGAUAUGUAGGCAAUCCUUCUCAGAUUCAAUCACAUCCUCUUGUCAAUCAACUCUACGUGGAUCAUGAAUAAAGAGCAUCUAUUCGUCUUAAAUAUAUGUUCUUUCUUUAUUUUUGGAUGAUGCAGGAAGUACCCUACUCGUUCAAAAUAGGGCUUAAACUUCGAAAAUUUCACAGCAAUGCAAGUCUAAAAACAUUCAACGUUAUACUAUUAGUGAAGCCUUGUUCAACCCAAUCCAUCUGGAAUGGUUAGCAAUUUGGAAGAUGCACCAUCUGGUCUCCGGAAAGUUUUUGCAACCAGCAAGGUUAUAAAAUUCAAAGCUGAGCUCUAUGCCAUUCAAGGAAAUCGACAGGGCUAUUUGGAACUCAUUCGAGGGUGGCUCUAAAAUCUGACCCCAAGUAUAACUACUUCUAUCCCGAAUAAACUUAAUAAGUCAAGUAAUCUCUGCAACAAAAAGUGUUAGUAGGUUUGAAGGGGGCAUCCAGACAAGGCAUUCCCUGAGAGGACUUUAUUCCAAUGGAGCUCCGAUAUGUGGAAAUGAUUUGGCCCAACCAACCAAGGUAAUCCUAUCAGAAACGCUCAGGUCUAUCGCCUAGGGUCCAACAAAAGGAUUCAAAAAGUAUUUCCGAUCCCCAUGCUGAUGAUCAUGCUCCCAAAGACUUUCGUUUAAGAUUCAGACAGACAUGCAAUCCACUCUGGGAAAAUCACUCCUAGACUACAUUGCAAAUAUUGAGGAUGUUAAUUCAGAAACGGGACAAAAUAUUAAGCAUUUUUGCUAACUUAUUCCUUGCAAGAUACUUCGAGAACAAUGCAGCAAUUUCAAGUCAGAUAAUUGCACAAAUGAGCUUAAAACGAAGGAUUCCAUAUGGCUGUAAAUGCUUGCACUCUUAGUACCAGAGUAAAGUGGUACUCUGGGUAUCACAAUGAGAAUCCUUUAUGGAUGCUAUGUGUGGGAGGUAAUGUUUCUCCAAAUCAAUAUUACUGAGGGGGUUUUUCACUAAAAACUUUGUCCUGGGCCCAAAAACUUACUCGUAUUCUACUCCAUUAUUUAUUAUAUUGUUUAAAGUUUGUACACUUUAGAAACAUUUAUCAAAUUGGGAAUUUCACGUGAAAAAGAUGUACAAGAUGGGAAAAUCUUUACACAAGCACAUAUAUAUCAUUAAAGUCUCAAAGGAGAUCAAUUUAGUAAAAUAGUUUAGGAGAGACAAGCCCCUAGCGAUGAAAUAUUUGAAAAUGACUACAUGAGAUUCUUAAUAAACAUCAUCAGGUUCAGUCGCCGGAUCAGCGAUCUGCUAUGCCUACCUUGCUGCAUACCGCACAUGAUACUACAUUGAAGAUGAGUAUCUUGUGGAAGAUUCGCCAUCGUCAUCAUCUGUACGUGGAGGAAAUGGAGAAACCUGGAGGCGAAUAAUUCACAAGAGCACCCCAUCAUCUUAAAGGAGUCGGCACUAGUACAUGUUCUGCACAAGGUGUCAGGUGAGAAGAGAAUGGAUGAUGGGGCAUUCCAAUGCAAUUCUAGACACUCAAGCCACAUAAGUGCCACACGGGGCGAAUGUUUAAAUGAAGGGCCAUCGCCAUCACCGUCAACAAGCAUCAGAUGAGGAAGAAAGUGGAUAUGGAAAGGCCUUUUAGUGGGUCUCCAUGCUCCAUGCAGAUCCAACUUUUCCAUAAGGCCCAUAUGGAAGCCUUACAAAGGGAUAUAGAGCGAGUUGCACGAAGAAAUGAGAUAUUUUUAGAGAUAUUUAGGGAUUUUCGGCAGGCAGUACAAUUUUCUGGGAUUAAAUUUUUUCUCAGUGAGAGGCUCAUAAAAGAACUAAAGUUAACCAAGAAAAGCACAUGCGUUAUGGCAGAAUAUGAGGAAGGGUUGAAGGAAAACUGCGAUUUGGUAAAACUAUUUAGAGGCAGGUCACCAGAAGAUCCCACUGUUGAAAGUGAAGAGUACCGCAUCUCAGGAUCAAUCCAUACGAUGAUUGAAGUUAAUUAAUAAAAUGCAUGGAAAAGCGACCGCGUAAAGCAGAGGCAUUCAUCAUCAUGUCAAUUGAUCUUUUUUCGUGAUUCUAAGAUUUAUGCGAUGAAAAUCAAAAUGACUCAACUACCCCACUUUAAUGACGAGCCGGACCUAUGUGCAAAGAAUUUGAAGACUAAAUGAUAUGUAUUCCAGCUUACUCCGAAAGACAUGGUCUUUGGUAACAAUCCCUUCUCAAGGGGAACAAGUUGCCUCUCAGAAUUAUAGUUAAAGGCAAUUGCGAAACCAUGAUUUUCAUGGCCAGAGUAAGGCUGAUCUGAAUACAAUUACUUAAGAAGUCCAGUCAUGGGCUCACCAGUUCCGGGACGAGCUAUAUCAGAUAGAGUAGGGUGCCACUAUCAUUCUACUUUAGGGCAUUAAACAGAGUCCUAGCGACUCCACUGGAUGACUAUGCUUGCUCUGCAAGACAGGCGAUCUGAUCUAGAUAUGGACACAAUCAAAUCCUAUAAAUCUUGGAGUCCCUACAAUCUAGGGAUAGGCAUGCGCCGCAAAUAAUCACAAUUCCUAAGAGGAUACAAUAUUUACUUACUAGAUAUCCUCUAGGAUUCUACUAGCUAGAAUGAGGAUUUUAUCCUAAAAUGGUCUCUCUCCCAAGUGUAAAUACACCCAUCUAGGGUUCAUCUAUGGUCGUGCAAUCUAUACACUUGAAUUCUCUUGCUCACUGCUUGAGUCUCAAAUCAUUCGCUUCACCGUCAAAGAGUCUUUGGCUAACACACCCUCCCCCAUCCCGGCAUAAGUUUUGUUUACAGUUGUUUUACUAUUUUGUAGGUUGCUCAGUUUUACUUGGAUUUGUGCUCAACCACAUAUCACAAAUGUUGGAAAUAUGCCCUGAAAGUCAAUCUUUGGAAGAAACCUUUCAGGACAAAUGAAUCAAUGUAUGGAUGACUCUUAUACAUCAAAUGGCAAAGAUACUAAUUAGGACUAUCUCAAUAAACGAUAUAUGUCCUUAUUAAUGAAUCCAUGGACAAUGGAUCGAUUGAAGAAGUAAUCUAAUGAUGUUAGACUACAGAGACCUUCUUCACAUAACCAUUAUGUCCAGAAAGGUUCCUGGUCAUUGGAUUGUCGGAGGGACACUGACAAUGCUUAGACCGGUACAUACUGUGUCCACUUCAAAUGGAAGAAUGGAAAGUCUCAUCCCAUUUGUGUAGUGACACUAAGACAAGUAUGUAGGUGCUCAUUAAGGGAAUGAGUUCACUGAACAUAAUCGAACGAGAGUACUUGCAUGGAGGUUUACUCACAUGUCAAGCAAGUAACUCUAAUGGUUGGAAUAAUGUAAGUAGUCCUUUGACCUGAGGCAUCGUCAUUGUCUUGUGGCUAAGUACUUAAUCUUUGAUUAUGUCAAAGUCACCCCAUUCGCGGAUGUCCACGGCAUAAUUAGGGUUAAGCCACUUAGUCAUGAAGGCAAGUGAAUGCGCAACAAGGAAUCUCUAAUCCUCAAUUAGAGAGGAAGAAUACUCUAAGAUAUGAUUCGGGAAUCUUCGGCCGAAGUAUCGAGCGUAAUAAAGGAAAGCGUUCCUAUACGACUCAAAUGAAUCAUAUAAGAAGGAAUAAUCACAUUAGGGGUUUGACAUAAUAUAUCCAUACCCUAGUAAUGUGAUUGAGAGUAUUGUUUUAGAGAAGGAUCGAAUUACAUUGUAAUUCCAACUGAAUAGGUUAUCCGAACAACUUCUACAUUAGCUUGGGUAGCUAUGACAUAUGGUUAGAUGUCACUCAUAUAGUCAUCAAAGAAGAAAGGUGAAUUAAAAGGAAGUUUUAAUUCACUAAGUGAUUGGAUUAAAUAUAAUCAAUUGGAUUGAUGUCAAUCACCUCACUGCCUUGCUAAUUAGAACCUAAAAUGAUUGUACACCGAUACACUCUUGUAGUGAGUAAUUAAUGAAUGAUGGAAAUAAUUAAUUGGAUUAAUUAAGUGUUGUGAUUAAUUUAGAAAGUCUAAAGAAAUCAUAAAAGCGAUAAAAGAUCGUUUUGGGGUUAAAGAAACGUUCGGGUUUAAUUGGGCCCAUUGGGCCUAAACCCAUUGGGCUUUUAUUCAAGCAUUGGAUGACUAGAAAUAAAUAAAAGCCCAAAGCCCAAACCAACACAAAGGGGCCGGCCCUUUAAAGUGGAGAGGGAGAGAUAUUUAGUCAAGUUGUUGACUAGGUUUCUUUUUGUCUAUAUAAGGAACUUUAUAGAGACUUAAUUCUUAGGGUUUUUUGUGUGUUUUAAAACAACAAAGAGGCAAAAGAAACAUCUCUCUAAAAACCACAAAAGGCCGGCCACCUUGAGGGUGAUUUAGCUAACAAUCUUUCACCCUUUUGGUUAUUCCUCCAUCCAUCUCACUACACUAGUGGGUGUGGAUAUUUAGAGGUCUUCUCCUUUGGAGACUAAAGGAGAACCUUGGAGCACUCUUACUAACAAAGUGGAGGAGGCAAGGAGGGAGGCUAGGCUCAAGGACUUCAAGGAGCAAAGGACUUGGAGGUGGUCCAUCCUUGGUCUAAAAUCAAGAUCAAGAGGUAUAGAUCUAUACUUUCACUUAGUUCUUUACUUGAAUGUUUUAGAUGCAUUAUAUAUAAACCUAUGAACCUUGAAGGGGAUUUGCAUGACUAUAGCUUUGAUAUUAUUUGAUAAAUUGCUUCCGUUGCUCAUGUAUAUAAAUUUUGAAUUGUAUAUGCAUGCUAGUCAUUUAGAAAUCCCAUGUGUUAUAUUCAUAAUUUUCCCUUCAACAAAGGCGCGCAAAUUUGGUUCUAACAAUUAUGAAAUACAAUAUAAGCAUGGGAAAGAUAACAUAGUUAUUGAUGCCCUUUCAUGGGAGUAUGGUUUUCAUAUCCUUCAUGAAGGGAGGAAAAGUACCAGUGGGAUGACUAAGUGUAUGGUAGUCACUUAUCCAUACUUUAGGUGGCCUACAUGAAUUGACAAGGGAAGUGGAUUAAGAUGAGUGGAUUAUUCAGAAGAAUAAGGAAGUACAAAGGGCAACCUUUUCUAAUAUACCAAUGCUUAGCUCCAGUUUAUCCAAGUUUCAAGUCGACAAUGGAUUUCUCAAGUAUAAAGCUAGGAUUGUGAUAAGCCCUACAUCCCAUUCAUGAGCAAAAAUCAUGGAAAAGCACCACUCAACUUGCACAAUUGGUCAUCAAGGAAUUUUGAAGGCAUACCAAAGAAUCAAAAGUGUUUUUAUUGGCCUGGGAUGAAUACAAAAGUCAAGCAAUUUGUGGUUGACUGUCAAGUUUACCAAUUACAUAAACAUGAAACCAUAGCACCGCAGGCUUGCUGCAACCUCUUUCCAUUCCCCUGAAUGCAAACAGAAGUUAGUAUGGAUUUUAUUCUUGGCUUGUCAAGCUACAAAGGGAAGUCUGUGAUUUUAGUAGUGGUGGACAGGUUAACAAAGUAUGCAUACUUCAUUGCAUUGUCUUAUCCAUGCACGGCUGCAUUAUAGCUCAGCUUUUUCUGGGGCAUGUGUUCAAAUUACAUGGGAGAUUCACUUUUAGUACCGCUUCUUACUAUAACAAAAAGACUUGUUGGAAAUAUGGUGCAACCAAGAUAGGCAUAGGAGUCUUUGGGCAUUCCUUGGACUAAUUACAACUUGAGUAGAGAUAAGGGGCUUGGCAUUGUGGAAGUAGAUGACUAAAUUAAGUCUCGUUGUCCCACACAACAGAGUACCAUCUUUCCUUCUGUCCUUUCGUAUCAAACUUAAAGAAAACGUGGUUUCCCGGACUAUAGUGCGCCGCCUCCUCCACCCUCCCUAAAAGAUUUUUACAAAACCCAACGAUUGCCCUAUUGAGCGCUAACAGUUCAAUGCGCUCAUAAAAGGUUAUGUCGGGAAGGGUGUGUGGUGAAUGACAGGGACCCCAUUUUCCUCAACAACUGUUGGAGAGAAUUUUUCCAAGUUACAAGGUUCUACUUUUAUGGGUAUCAGCCUUAAUCUGAUGGCGAAACUGAGGUGAUGAGUAGGAAUCUAAAGACUUAUCUUAGAUGUUUUGUUGGAGCACAACCUCAAAUAUGGGCCCAAUGGUUAGCCUGGGUUAAGGGAACUAAAACACCCCACAACUAAGUCCACACCCUUUGAACUAGUUUAUAGUUACUCACCUUCCUACAAUGCUUCUUAUAAAUAGAAAUCAACUAAAAUGGAUGUGGUUGAGCAAAGCUUGCUGGAUAGGGAUAAAAUGUUGUCCAUUAUUAAAUCCAACUUGGUUUUGGCACAAAACAGAAUGAAGGUUCAGGAAGACAAGCACAAAAUUGGAAGGGAGUUUGCUAUGAGGGAUUUGGUGUAUUUGAAGUUGGUACCUUACUAGCUACAAUCACUAAACUCACAUUCCCAUCACAAGUUACAUCCAAGAUUUUGUGGGCCAUGAGGUUUUACAGAGGAUUGGUGAGGUAGCCUACAAACUCAAGUUGCCAGCCAAUACAAAAAUCAUGUCUUCCAUGUAGGGAUAGGCAACAGUUAUAGCAAGCUAGUAACCGCAGUUAUUUACGCAUAAUCAUUUAUGUUCAAACCCACAUAACCGUUUACCGUUAGGUAAUUGCAUAAAUGGUUAUACUCAUACCCAUAAUCGUUUAUAAAUGGUUAACAAUACCCAUAACCGAGUACCUAUUUAACCAUAACCAUUUACCCAUUUAACCAUAACCAUCUACCCGUUUUUGAAUCUGUUUAUCAUUUUUUUACCCAUUUACCCAUUUUUCAUCCGUUUACAUGUUUUUUUUAACAACUUGAAAAUUACAAAAGAAUUUUUUUUUGUUUUCUGACAAUUAAACACUGUUAAAGGUACAUUUUAGCAUGUAUUUCCCUAUUUAAAUCAUUUAAGUCCUCAUACAAUUCCAAUAAUUGAAAUAAUAGUUUACGAAUGAUAUUUUUCUGCUACACCCAAGCAAGUCUUUAAUUAUAAUCCAUAUGAUUAGAAAGUAAAGCUUCUAAAACAAAAAGUACUCAUUAUCUUGAAUACUAGAUGAUUCAAAGCUCCAAAAUAUUCCAAAACUAAAUACUUUCGAACACUAAUGCUUUAGCACGAUCAAUCACAAAAUCUCAUCAACUCGUUGUCACCGAAAGAGGUCUACAAAGGAAAUAUAUAAAUUCAAUAGUAUCCCAUUUAGGAACACCGGCACCAAUUAGCAUGAAUCCAACAAAGGUAAGUGAUCGCAUAAGGUUUACAUUGUACACUUAGUUAUCAGACAAAAAAAAAACAAAACAAAAUUAAAUAAAACAAAAAGCAAACAAAAGCAGUGUACCAAAUCAAUUGAGUUAGUAUCACCAUUCAUCAAUAUGCAUAAACAAAAGGUUUACAUUCCAUGAUUUUUCACACACCCAUAUGCAUAAAUUGAAUUAUUAUCGCCAAUAACUCCAAAGUAAAAAACAAAGGAUUAGUGAGGUAGCCUACAAACUCAAGUUGCCAACUAAUACAAAAAUACAUCAUGUCUUCCAUGUGAGCUGUUUAAAAAGCAUUUGGGAACACAAGUGACUACUGCAACAACUCUUCCAGAAGUAAGUGAUGAUGGCAUGGUGAUGGAAGCCCCCUUUGCAGUGUUGAGUAGAAGAAUGUACGAGAGAGGGAAUACUACAGGGGUCCAAGUGCUACUACAGUGGGUAGGCCAUACUAAAGAAGGAGCAACCUGGGAACAUUAUGAUGUUUUUGUUUCUCCAUUUCCUGAUAUCAAAUUCUAAAACCUAGUGAACAAGGUUUUGCUUGAGGGAGGGGUAAUGUUAUGAUCUGUGAUUAGCUCAAUCACAAUCAAUAACUAAUUAGUUAAUUGGGGAGUAAUUAGUUAAGUGGUUUUGGCUUCCAACUGGCAAGUGAUGUAUAGGCUGUAUAUGCACACACUUUGGGUGUGAUUUUGGUCAAUGGUCAUUUUGAAUUAAAUAUAGUAUUACAAAAACAAGUGGAGCUCAGCUCUCUCUUCUCUCCUUCCGUCCUCUUCCUCCAUUGUUACUGUGAUACUUGCAGGUUGAGUAAGGGUUAGAUUUUGUCAUAACAAGCCACAGAGUAAGAAGAACAUGAAAGCUACUCUGUGAGAGAGCGAGAACAUGAAAAUCCAGGGUUAAUUCCCAAUUCUGACUUACCAAGUUACCAGUAUAAACAUAUAUUCUAGCAGCGUAAUUCGAUUCCAAUGUCACUUGUGUGCAAUUGAUCUUUCCUCUUUAUUAGUUUUGUCCUUGUAAUAGCUUUUUCCAUGUUAACUAACUCAUCUUUCAUGGAAAUAUGCAUGAUUUUCCUUUCAGAUACAAUCUGUAAGAGACGUCAACUAAACUCAUCAUCUGCAACAAAAAUAACCCUAGCGAUCACAAUUACUUUCUCAAGGGAGCAAUUCAUGUUUAAGGAAAGGCCUCCUUUAUUCUUCUUGUUACAUUAUUACAUAUAUUUACGUAUCUCACUUUCUAUAGCACACACACGCACACAUACAUAUAAUAACAAAUAUAAGGUAUACAAAGAAUUCCUCUAUCUAACUUGGAAGUUGAGUUUCCUAAUGCAAAAGGCAAACAUGAAGGCGAAGAAGACUCCGAAUCCAACUAGAACUCCAGCCACUGGUCCCUUGAAAUCUGAUUCAAAUCCGUAACGGUCUUUUAGGUACCAUUUCACAGUUGGGUCAGGUGUAUACCCAGGUGCUUUAAUGGUCUCCUCAAUGUCACCAUACUGUGUUACAAUCAAUCCAUACACCGUCCAUGCCACGGGACAUAUCCAGUAGUACCAAAUCCACCAACCGGGUAUUUUCUGAAAAUUCAAAAGAUAAAGAAUUCGUGUUAACAUACUUUUAUAACGAGUUUUAGUCACUUCAUCACCGCUGGGGACAAAAAUCGAAUCACCAACUGUUAAAUCAAAAUCCGAUAGUUGAGAUGCAAACUCGAUUCAGAACACUUAACCAUUGGAUUUUAAUCAGUUGGAAAAUGAUUGCUGUGAUUUUGUUGAUCAAUUUAGACCAAUAAAUCACAGUAUCAUUAUAAUCCAAUUUAAAUUGAAGUAUAUGCUUGUGGGAAGAAGAAUACUAGUACUUACUGGUCUUGGAAUGAAGAAACCGGAGAAGAGAUUGAAGACUGAAUAGAAAGCUGCGGCGAAUAUGGCUGCUACUUGGUGGUUCGGUGUGAUGGAAACGGUCAUCAUGCCGUAGUAUGUGAAGUAAAGGAAGGAGAAGAAGUUGAUAAAGAAGAACCAGAAGAAUUUUCCUGCUUCCCAUUGGAAGCUCACCAUAGCAUACACUAUCAGUGUAUAAUACGUGGUCUGGAUAAACACAUAUGGUAUUUCAAUAAUGACCUGCAUGUCAUACAAAUGGUUUAUUUGAGUCAGUCAGAUGACAAUUAUUUCUAUAGCAACAAAUAUCGAUUUAUAAUAGUGUUAUAUAUGAAACUAGGAUCAAUACUAUAUAUGUGUAAAAUAUGAGUUAACGUAAGUAUUUAUUCUCCCUUCACCUGUGCCAGUGCAUAAGGUAAUGCAGAGUACAUCCCAGCAGCUCUUUCUCGAUAGAAAACUGUUCUUUCAAUGGCGACAAUGGGUUGCACCGUUGUGCAGUUAUCAAAUCCGACGAAAAAGACAGCAGCGUACAUAGCCCCGAUAACCAUGUUCAUAUCAGAACUGCUUUCGCUGCAUAAGGAGAAAUAUAUAAUUAGCAAGAAAUUGGUGUAUGGAAACUCCUGAACGAAAACUUUUAUUGUCAAAAUAAUGAGUACUAGUUGAAGUUUGAAAUAGUUAAGCUUUGAGAUAAGCACACACAUUUUUGAGCCAAUAUCCCAGAAAAUAGAUCCAACGAGAAGGGCUGCUGCCAAGGUAAAAAAGAAUCUGACAAGGUUAUAAUCAGGACUUCUCCAAUAAGUCCACCACUGCUUCCAGAGGCAAGACUGGAAUUGCUUCCAUGACGGCUGAGAAAACUGAGUGGGAAAAUAGAGGUCGUUUGCUCCUGCUGGUGGUGUGCUCAACUCAUUUACUAAAGCUUUGUUUCUCCUGGUCAUAAAUAUUGGAAUAUAAGUUUUAUAUUUUCCAAAAACCUGCCAAUUCCAAACCUAAAUAGUAUUAUUUUCAAUUUUUUUCUACUUACUGAUGCAAGGCAGAUGAUUUGUAGAAUUGAGCAAAGUCCAUUCCAAGCCGGACCUCAAUUGAUGUUGAGCUCGCCUCAAGCAUCCAUGUAGCUGGAUUGUACUUCUCCUUGAUUUUUGGCACGCCAGGAACCGCCUGGAAUUAAGUUGGUAAGUUUACACUUGGAUGACAAUGCCUUUGAUUAUUUCUCUGUGCAAAAUUAAGAUACGAAAAAAGUUGCACGCAGAUAAAAUACCUCAAAAUAUUCAACAAUCUUGUGAGAAUUGCGGCCCAGUGGUCCUAAGUAGAUAACUUGUCCUCCUCUCUUCAUCAGUAGUAGCUCAUCGAAUGCCUCAAAGAUAUCUAUGCUAGGCUGAUGAAUUGUGCAAACAACUGUUCUCCCAGUGUCCACCGUAUUUCUAACAGUCCUCAUAACGAUGGCAGCUGCCCUUGCAUCAAGACCUGAUGUUGGUUCAUCCAUGAAAAUGAUUGAGGGAUUGGCAACAAGCUCAACUGCAAUCGUUAACCUCUUUCUUUGUUCUGUUGACAGCCCUGAAACUCCGGGAAGCCCUACUAAAGCAUCUUUAAGAUUGUCCAGCUCAACCAGUUCCAUCACUUGAUCUACAAAAAUCUGCAAACAUAUAUAGUAUAUACAGUUCAGCAUUUAAAUAAUUGCACUAUGCUUUGUUCAGAGAAGCAGUGCAAGUCAUGGUUUUACCAUCUUUUCCUCGUUGCUGACUUCUUUAGGGAGUCUAAGGAAAGCUGAGUAAACCAACGAUUCUUUGAUAGUGACUUGGGGUGAGUGGAUAUCAGUUUGUUCACAGUAACCAGAAAUUCUUGCAAAGGUUUCUUGCUUCUUAGGGUACCCAGAAAUUCUAAUGUCACCUUCAAUGUAACCUCCGGUCUUUCUUCCUGCUAAGACAUCCAUCAAAGUUGUCUUCCCAGCUCCACUUACCCCCAUUAGGGCAGUCAAGACCCCAGGCCUAAAUGCACCAGUUACUUCACGAAGUAGUUGCAGCCUGUCCUCUGCUACUCCUUCUUCCUUCAUUUCCUGUUAUAGUGAACUAAGUUAGCUAAUUAAGUAGUGAAGUUGGACUACAAGAUAAUGUUUCAGAUAAACAAGGAGUGAAAUACAGAAAAAGAAAUAUUACAGCGGGCAUGUCCACGAAAUAAUUAACACUGUCGAAGGACAUUGCAAGAGGUGUGAAAGGUAAAACCAUUCCUCUCUUGGGGGCAACGCCACCAGAGACUUCGAGAGACGAAUCAGCAUUUCUAUCUAGUCCACUAGAGCUGGAUCGACUGCUCAUUCGUCGGACUUCCAUUUCUCCUACAGAAAAGUUUAAUCCAAUAACAAACUCGGAUAACAUAUGCUCACAUUACACUUGACGAUAUUUUUCUGUUUCUUACUUGUAUUGUUUCCAUCAGUAGAAGAUAAUGAUCGAGGCAAAGAAACAUUCUUGGAUGGGGGUCUUCUCAGUCUUGGCUCUUCCUUUGAUUCUUCUUGGUCUAGCUCCAUUUCAUUUGCCGCCUCUUCAGAUAUGAUGGCUUGUGGCUUUCCAGGAGCUAAUUUAAUAAAACAAAACCAUGAAAAACUGUAACUUUGAAAGUACAAACGAAAGAAGCUCCAUGUAGACAUAAAAAGGAAUAUUGACUCUUACCACUUAGGUACAUAAGGGAGACCGUAUAAAGGGAGUUGAAGAGAACAAUAAACCCCAGAAGAGCGCCAGAACCAAUCCAAAACCAGUUUUUGUUGUGGUAAACAUCAAAGUUAUUAAGCACUGCCUCACCCACCCUGGUAACAUUAUCUAAAGCCUGCAGCACAAGGAAGUUCGAUGCAGAAGCUUAGCCUUUUCGUUAAGUUAAACAAAUGUAGCGCAUGAAUGACAUGUGCAAGGAAGAGCCUAAGUUUAUCAUACCAGUUUGUUCAUCCACCUCGGAGCAUACAUUUCAUUUACAGAGAUAGCAUUGAAGCCAUAUGUCAAAGGUGAAACCCAGUAUGCCCACGUCCACCAGUUUGGAAUUUGACCUGUCACAAAUGAAGCAACUCGUUGAAUAUUCAGUGAAAUACUAAUUUGGUCCCUUUUUGUUAGUUUUUGACUAUUUUUUUAAAGCUAAAUUUGCAACUCAAACUAACCUCUUGGAAUUAUGAAACCUCCAAGCAAGAAAAGAAUUAGAAGAGUAAGAGUCCCGCCAGUGUUGGAUAUGAUCAUGGUCCUGCUA